AGGACGAACGCUGGCGGCGUGCUUAACACAUGCAAGUCGAGUGGAAAGGCCCUUCGGGGUACUCGAGCGGCGAACGGGUGAGUAACACGUGAGCAACCUGCCCCUGGCUCUGGGAUAGCCUCCGGAAACGGGGAUUAAUACCGGACAUGACCUGCUGCCGCAUGGUGGCGGGUGGAAAGUUUUUCGGCUAGGGAUGAGCUCGCGGCCUAUCAGCUUGUUGGUGAGGUAACGGCUCACCAAGGCGACGACGGGUA
rnacentral:rRNA from 1 species